rnacentral:rRNA from 1 species
AUUGAACGCUGGCGGCAGGCCUAACACAUGCAAGUCGAACGAGUGGCGGACGGGUGAGUAAUGUAUGGGAAACUGCCUGAUGGAGGGGGAUAACUACUGGAAAGGGUAGCUAAUACCACAUACAAUAAGAUGGGCACAGAUGGGAUUAGCCAGUUGUGGGGGUAACGGCUCACCAAGGCGAAGAUCCCUAGCUGGUCUGAGAGGCUGACCAGCCACACUGGAACUGAGACACGGUCCAGACUCCGACGGGAGGCAGCAGUGGGGGAUAGUGCACAAUGUGCGCGAGCCUGAUUCAGCCAUGCCGCGUGGAUGAAGAAGGCCUUCGGGUUGUAAAGUACUUUCUGCGGGGAGGCGUUACCCGCAGAAUAAGCACCGGCUAACUCCGUGCCAGCAGCCGCGGUAAUAC